rnacentral:rRNA from 1 species
UAACGCGUGGGUAACCUGCCUCACACAGGGGGAUAACAGUUAGAAAUGACUGCUAAUACCGCAUAAGCGCACGGCAUCGCAUGAUGCAGUGUGAAAAACUCCGGUGGUGUGAGAUGGAUCCGCGUCUGAUUAGGUAGUUGGUGGGGUAACGGCCCACCAAGCCGACGAUCAGUAGCCGACCUGAGAGGGUGACCGGCCACAUUGGGACUGAGACACGGCCCAA